AAAAAAGGUAAGCUACUAAGAGCGAAUGGUGGAUGCCUUGACUGGUAAAGGCGAUGAAGGACGUACUAGACUGCGAUAAGCUACGGGGAGCUGUCAAGAAGCUUUGAUCCGUAGAUUUCCGAAUGGGGCAACCCAAUGUAUAGAGAUAUACAUUACCUAUAUAGGAGCGAACGAGGGGAAUUGAAACAUCUUAGUACCCUCAGGAAAAGAAAUCAAUAGAGAUUGCGUCAGUAGCGGCGAGCGAAAGCGCAAGAGGGCAAACCCAGUGCUUGCACUGGGGGUUGUAGGACUGCAAUGUGCAAGAGGUAAGUUUAGCAGAACAUUCUGGAAAGUAUAACCAUAGAGGGUGAUAGUCCCGUAUGCGAAAAACAAACCUUAGCUAGCAGUAUCCUGAGUAGGGCGGGACACGAGGAAUCCUGUCUGAAUCCGGGUCGACCACGAUCCAACCCUAAAUACUAAUACCAGAUCGAUAGUGCACAAGUACCGUGAGGGAAAGGUGAAAAGAACUGAGGUGAUCAGAGUGAAAUAGAACCUGAAACCAUUUGCUUACAAUCAUUCAGAGCCCUAUGUAGCAAUACAGGGUGAUGGACUGCCUUUUGCAUAAUGAGCCUGCGAGUUGUGGUGUCUGGCAAGGUUAAGCAAACGCGAAGCCGUAGCGAAAGCGAGUCUGAAUAGGGCGCUUAGUCAGAUGCUGCAGACCCGAAACGAAGUGAUCUAUCCAUGAGCAAGUUGAAGCUAGUGUAAGAACUAGUGGAGGACUGAACCCAUAGGCGUUGAAAAGCCCCGGGAUGACUUGUGGAUAGGGGUGAAAGGCCAAUCAAACUUCGUGAUAGCUGGUUCUCUCCGAAAUAUAUUUAGGUAUAGCGUUGUGUCGUAAUAUAAGGGGGUAGAGCACUGAAUGGGCUAGGGCAUACACCAAUGUACCAAACCCUAUCAAACUCCGAAUACCUUAUAUGUAAUCACAGCAGUCAGGCGGCGAGUGAUAAAAUCCGUCGUCAAGAGGGAAACAACCCAGACUACCAGCUAAGGUCCCUAAAUCUUACUUAAGUGGAAAACGAUGUGAAGUUACUUAAACAACCAGGAGGUUGGCUUAGAAGCAGCCAUCCUUUAAAGAAAGCGUAAUAGCUCACUGGUCUAGUGAUUUUGCGCGGAAAAUAUAACGGGGCUAAAGUAAGUACCGAAGCUGUAGACUUGCACACAACUUAGAUUAUUUAAGUUUAGAAUAUGAGAAACUAAGUUAUAUGUUUAGUUAUAUUUUUACUGAUUUUUAUAGAGUAAAGAUAGAAAUAAAACUUAGUAAAAUCAGUAAAAAUAUUCUUAGACUAAAGUUAAGUAGUUUAAGUUGUGUGCAAGUGGUAGGAGAGCGUUCUAUUUGCGUCGAAGGUAUACCGGUAAGGAGUGCUGGAGCGAAUAGAAGUGAGCAUGCAGGCAUGAGUAGCGAUAAUUAAUGUGAGAAUCAUUAACGCCGUAAACCCAAGGUUUCCUACGCGAUGCUCGUCAUCGUAGGGUUAGUCGGGUCCUAAGUCGAGUCCGAAAGGGGUAGACGAUGGUAAAUUGGUUAAUAUUCCAAUACCAACAUUAGUGUGCGAUGGAAGGACGCUUAGGGCUAAGGGGGCUAGCGGAUGGAAGUGCUAGUCUAAGGUCGUAGGAGGUUAUACAGGCAAAUCCGUAUAACAAUACUCCGAGAACUGAAAGGCUUUUUGAAGUCUUCGGAUGGAUAGAAGAACCCCUGAUGCCGUCGAGCCAAGAAAAGUUUCUAAGUUUAGCUAAUGUUGCCCGUACCGUAAACCGACACAGGUGGGUGGGAUGAGUAUUCUAAGGCGCGUGGAAGAACUCUCUUUAAGGAACUCUGCAAAAUAGCACCGUAUCUUCGGUAUAAGGUGUGGUUAGCUUUGUAUUAGGAUUUACUCCGAAAGCAAGGAAACUUACAACAAAGAGUCCCUCCCGACUGUUUACCAAAAACACAGCACUCUGCUAACUCGUAAGAGGAUGUAUAGGGUGUGACGCCUGCCCGGUGCUCGAAGGUUAAUUGAUGGGGUUAGCAUUAGCGAAGCUCUUGAUCGAAGCCCGAGUAAACGGCGGCCGUAACUAUAACGGUCCUAAGGUAGCGAAAUUCCUUGUCGGUUAAAUACCGACCUGCAUGAAUGGCGUAACGAGAUGGGAGCUGUCUCAAAGAGGGAUCCAGUGAAAUUGUAGUGGAGGUGAAAAUUCCUCCUACCCGCGGCAAGACGGAAAGACCCCGUGGACCUUUACUACAGCUUGACACUGCUACUUGGAUAAGAAUGUGCAGGAUAGGUGGGAGGCUUUGAGUAUAUGACGCCAGUUGUAUAUGAGCCAUUGUUGAGAUACCACUCUUUCUUAUUUGGGUAGCUAACCAGCUUGAGUUAUCCUCAAGUGGGACAAUGUCUGGUGGGUAGUUUGACUGGGGCGGUCGCCUCCCAAAUAAUAACGGAGGCUUACAAAGGUUGGCUCAGAACGGUUGGAAAUCGUUCGUAGAGUAUAAAGGUAUAAGCCAGCUUAACUGCAAGACAUACAAGUCAAGCAGAGACGAAAGUCGGUCUUAGUGAUCCGGUGGUUCUGUGUGGAAGGGCCAUCGCUCAAAGGAUAAAAGGUACCCCGGGGAUAACAGGCUGAUCUCCCCCAAGAGCUCACAUCGACGGGGAGGUUUGGCACCUCGAUGUCGGCUCAUCGCAUCCUGGGGCUGGAGCAGGUCCCAAGGGUAUGGCUGUUCGCCAUUUAAAGCGGUACGCGAGCUGGGUUCAGAACGUCGUGAGACAGUUCGGUCCCUAUCUGCCGUGGGCGUAAGAAGAUUGAAGAGAUUUGACCCUAGUACGAGAGGACCGGGUUGAACAAACCACUGGUGUAGCUGUUGUUCUGCCAAGAGCAUCGCAGCGUAGCUAAGUUUGGAAAGGAUAAACGCUGAAAGCAUCUAAGCGUGAAGCCAACUCUAAGAUGAAUCUUCUCUAAGCUCUCUAGAAGACUACUAGUUUGAUAGGCUGGGUGUGUAAUGGAUGAAAGUCCUUUAGCUGACCAGUACUAAUAGAGCGUUUGGCUUAUCUUUAAUAAAGCAU
rnacentral:rRNA from 1 species